CCGUCCAACUCACGGCUCCGCUGCGGCGGCGCACGUGGCCGUGGCCGCCCUUGCGCUGCUAACGCUUUGCAUCGAUGGCUGGAAGACCAUGGGCGGACCGUCCCCGAUGACGUGGUCUGGGGGGGUGCCGCGGCUAAGCAGGGGGUUCCGUCCCGCUCUGUCGCCGCCCCCCGGUCGCCGCACGUCGGGGCAUGUCUGCCCGCAAAGACAGCAAGAUGUGCUCUUGGAGGGCACUUGGCCCUGGAGGUGCACGCCACACUGC
rnacentral:misc_RNA from 1 species